UACGUAGGGUGCAAGCGUUAAUCGGAAUUACUGGGCGUAAAGCGUGCGUAGGCGGUUUUGUAAGUCUGGCGUGAAAGCCCCGGGCUCAACCUGGGAAUUGCGAUGGAGACUGCAAGGCUUGAAUCUGGCAGAGGGGGGUAGAAUUCCACGUGUAGCAGUGAAAUGCGUAGAGAUGUGGAGGAACACCGAUGGCGAAGGCAGCCCCCUGGGUCAAGAUUGACGCUCAUGCACGAAAGCGUGGGGAGCAAACAGG
rnacentral:rRNA from 1 species